GUGUGCAACCUGCCUUUAUCUGGGGGAUAGCCUUUCGAAAGGAAGAUUAAUACCCAUAAUAUGUUGGAUGGCAUCAUUCGACAUUGAAAACUCCGGUGGAUAGAGAUGGGCACGCGCAAGAUUAGAUAGUUGGUGAGGUAACGGCUCACCAAGUCUGCGAUCUUUAGGGGGCCUGAGAGGGUGAUCCCCCACACUGGUACUGAGACACGGACCAGACUCCUACGGGAGGCAGCAGUGAGGAAUAUUGGACAAUGGGUGAGAGCCUGAUCCAGCCAUCCCGCGUGAAGGACGACGGCCCUAUGGGUUGUAAACUUCUUUUGUAUAGGGAUAAACCUACUCUCGUGAGAGUAGCUGAAGGUACUAUACGAAUAAGCACCGGCUAACUCCGUGCCAGCAGCCGCGGUAAUACGGAGGGUGCAAGCGUUAUCCGGAUUUAUUGGGUUUAAAGGGUCCGUAGGCGGAUCUGUAAGUCAGUGGUGAAAUCUCACAGCUUAACUGUGAAACUGCCAUUGAUACUGCAGGUCUUGAGUGUUGUUGAAGUAGCUGGAAUAAGUAGUGUAGCGGUGAAAUGCAUAGAUAUUACUUAGAACACCAAUUGCGAAGGCAGGUUACUAAGCAACAACUGACGCUGAUGGACGAAAGCGUGGGGAGCGAACAGGAUUAGAUACCCUGGUAGUCCACGCCGUAAACGAUGCUAACUCGUUUUUGGGCUUUCGGGUUCAGAGACUAAGCGAAAGUGAUAAGUUAGCCACCUGGGGAGUACGAACGCAAGUUUGAAACUCAAAGGAAUUGACGGGGGCCCGCACAAGCGGUGGAUUAUGUGGUUUAAUUCGAUGAUACGCGAGGAACCUUACCAAGGCUUAAAUGGGAAAUGACAGGUUUAGAAAUAGACUUUUCUUCGGACAUUUUUCAAGGUGCUGCAUGGUUGUCGUCAGCUCGUGCCGUGAGGUGUUAGGUUAAGUCCUGCAACGAGCGCAACCCCUGUCACUAGUUGCCAUCAUUAAGUUGGGGACUCUAGUGAGACUGCCUACGCAAGUAGAGAGGAAGGUGGGGAUGACGUCAAAUCAUCACGGCCCUUACGCCUUGGGCCACACACGUAAUACAAUGGCCGGUACAGAGGGCAGCUACACAGCGAUGUGAUGCAAAUCUCGAAAGCCGGUCUCAGUUCGGAUUGGAGUCUGCAACUCGACUCUAUGAAGCUGGAAUCGCUAGUAAUUGCGCAUCAGCCAUGGCGNGGUGAAUACGUUCCCGGGCCUUGUACACNCCGCCCGUCAUACCAUGGAAGUCUGGGGUACCUGAAGUC
rnacentral:rRNA from 1 species